rnacentral:misc_RNA from 1 species
GCAGCCGCUUUUUCUCGGCGGUCUCUAAUGUUAUUUUUUAGGCUUUACAGGUCCUUUUUGUCGGUGUUCAGAGCAAAUAUUAUAUUUUGUUGGGUUUUAAAAGCCAUUUCCGAAUGAUGGCUGCUUCAGCGCUACCGCGGAUGCUCAGCAAGGGGCUACUUGGUAGGAAGCUUGUUGGCAUCACACCCCUGGCCUCAUCAGUCAGGAACCUGAAUCUGCUUGAGUACCAGAGCAAGGAGCUUCUGGACAAGCAUGGAGUCACUGUGCAAAAGUUCAAAAUGGCAGAGUCUGCUGAGCAGGCCAAAGAAGCAGUCAAGACUUUCACCCCAGCGGAGUAUGUCAUCAAAGCCCAGAUUUUGGCUGGAGGCCGAGGCAAGGGCACAUUUGACAAUGGCUUCAAGGGCGGUGUGCACCUGACCAAACAGGCGGGUGACGUGCCGAUGCUGGUCUCCUCGAUGGCCGGCCACCGACUGGUCACCAAGCAGACGCCCAAGGACGGCAUCCUGGUCCGCAAGGUGAUGGUCGCUGAGUCAGUGGACAUCCUCCGCGAGACAUACUUCUGCAUCCUCAUGGACAGAGAGUACAACGGUCCGGUAGUGAUCGCCUCCCCGGACGGCGGUGUCGACAUUGAGGAGGUGGCCGAAAAGACACCCGAACGGCUGCGGACGGUGCCUAUCGACAUCCACGAGGGUAUGACGGAGGAGACGGCCCGAGACCUGGCCGCCUUCCUCAACUUCCACGGCGAGCUGCAGGAUAAGGCUGCGGCGGAGAUCCAGGCGCUCUACCGUCUGUUUUUGGCUGUGGACGCCACCCAGGUGGAGAUUAACCCGCUGAUCGAGACGCCUCAGGGACAGGUGGUGGCCGUAGACGCCAAGAUUCAGUUCGACGAUAACGCGGCGUUCCGUCAGAAGGAGAUCUUCGCCAUGGAAGAUUCGAGCGAGUCUGACCCGCGUGAGGUGGAGGCGGCCAAACACAACCUCAACUACAUCGGCAUGGACGGCAACAUCGGCUGUCUCGUGAACGGCGCCGGCCUGGCCAUGGCCACCAUGGACAUUAUCAAGCUGCACGGCGGUGAGCCGGCCAACUUCCUCGACUGCGGCGGCGGAGUGCAGGAGGAGCAGGUCAAGAGCGCCUUCCAGCUACUCACCAACGACAAGAACGUAAAGGCGAUCCUGGUGAACGUGUUCGGCGGCAUCGUCAACUGCGCCACCAUCGCCAACGGCAUCGUCAACGCCUCCAAGUCCAUCAGCCUGGACCUGCCGCUCGUCGUCCGACUGGAGGGUACAAACGUAAAUGAGGCGCGCAAGAUCCUGGCCGACUCUCAGCUACCGAUCAAGACGGCCACCGAUCUGGAUGACGCCGCGAUGAAGGCUGUGGCCAGUCUGUAGGAGCCUCUCUAGAAGCCUCUGCGGCGCGGGGCGCCAGGGGCGGCCGGUGCCGCAGCCGGCCUGUUGGCGUCCUGUGGUGGAGCUGAUGGCCAGGUGCCCUGACCUGCACCCGGCGCCGACCUGACUCCACUGGUGACCUCUCGACACGCGGCACGGAUGUCACGACCUCCGGUACCCGUGGAGGGGCUCUCGGACAUCUCGGACAGUGA